AUAAGCCUGCGGUGUGCGGAAAUCUUUUAAUUCAACCGACAUAUUGUAAAAGGGAAUUCGUGUUUAAGCGCCUAUGACAUGCCCGCAUGACGGGAAGCCAGAAUCACUUAAUAGAGCUCCCACCUGCUUAGAUGCGGGUAUGAAUUAAUGGUUUGCGGCUCUCGCGGGUUUUUG
rnacentral:other from 1 species